AAUAGGUGUUUCCUGCCCAAUGUGUAUAUAAAUGGCCGCGGUAUUUUGACCGUGCAAAGGUAGCAUAAUCAUUUGUCCUUUAAUUGGGGGCUGGAAUGAAGGGAAGUUUGAGGCUUAACCUGUCUCUUUUUUAGGUUAGAAUUUGCUGUUUUUGUGAAGAAGCAAAGGUUUUUAAAAAAGACAAGAAGACCCUUUUAAGCUUUAUUUGUUUGUUUUUUUCUUGUUCUUUUAAGGAUUUUGGUAAAAAAUAAAAGAAUUUGGUUGGGGUGACUGAAGAAGAAAAAAUCUUCUUUAGUUUAUAAAAACUUUAGGUUUAAUCUUGACCCAGGAUUUUCUGGUUGAAAGAAUUAGUUACUAAAGGGAUAACAGCGUAAUCUUUUCAGAGAGUUCUUAUUGAAGAAAAGGAUUGCGACCUCGAUGUUGACUUGCUUUUUCCUUUUAAGGUGCAGAAGCUAAAAGGGUUAGUCUGUUCGACUAUUAAAAUAGU
rnacentral:rRNA from 1 species